rnacentral:rRNA from 1 species
CCUACGUGUGGCAGCAGUGGGGAAUAUUGGGCAAUGGGCGCAAGCCUGACCCAGCAACGCCGCGUGAAGGAAGAAGGUUUUCGGGUUGUAAACUUCUUUUCUCAGGGACGAAGAAAGUGACGGUACCUUAGGAAUAAGCCUCGGCUAACUACGUGCCAGCAGCCGCGGUAAUACGUAGGUGGCAAGCGUUAUCCGGAUUUACUGGGUGUAAAGGGCGUGUAGGCGGUUAAGCAAGUCAGUUGUGAAAACCAUGGGCUCAACCUGUGGCCUACAUUUGAAACUGUUUUACUUGAGUGCUGGAGAGGCAGACGGAAUUCCUAGUGUAGCGGUGAAAUGCGUAGAUAUUAGGAGGAACACCAGUGGCGAAGGCGGUUUGCUGGACAGCAACUGACACUGAGGCGCGAAAGCGUGGGGAGCAAACAGGAUUAGAUACCCCUGUAGUC